GACGAACGCUGGCGGCGUGCCUAAUACAUGCAAGUCGAGCGGACGAUUCGAAAGCUUGCUUUUGAAUCGUUAGCGGCGGACGGGUGAGUAACACGUGGGCAACCUGCCCUGUAGACGGGGAUAACACCGAGAAAUCGGUGCUAAUACCGGAUAACACGAAAUGUCGCAUGACGUUUCGUUGAAAGGCGGCGCAAGCUGCCGCUACAGGAUGGGCCCGCGGCGCAUUAGCUAGUUGGUGAGGUAACGGCUCACCAAGGCGACGAUGCGUAGCCGACCUGAGAGGGUGAUCGGCCACACUGGGACUGAGACACGGCCCAGACUCCUACGGGAGGCAGCAGUAGGGAAUCUUCCGCAAUGGACGAAAGUCUGACGGAGCAACGCCGCGUGAGCGAAGAAGGCCUUCGGGUCGUAAAGCUCUGUUGUUAGGGAAGAGCAAGUAACGUAGUAACUGACGUUACUAUGACGGUACCUAACGAGAAAGCCACGGCUAACUACGUG
rnacentral:rRNA from 1 species